GCCAGUGUAGCUCAACGGCAGAGCAGCUGAAUCGUAAUCAGCAGGUUGGGGGUUCGAGUCCCCCCGCUGGCUCCA
rnacentral:tRNA from 1 species